AAAAACCAAUAUAAAAAUAUAUAAAGUAGAAUAUAACAAAAGAAAGCAAAAAAAAAAAAGUAUUAAAUCAGCAUAAAUCAGUGUAUGAAAAAUGUGCUAAAUACAAAUGAAAGCGUAACACUUAUGUGAAAAGUUAUGUGUAAAAUUUAUUUAAAAAAAAAUAUAUGAAAAUCAUGCACAAAAGCAAGUUCUAACGAAUCCAAGUGCUUGAAAUGAAAUCGAAACCAGAAAUUCAUAUGCAAAUUAGCUGAUUUCGUAAAAUUCGUUAUUGCGAAUAGUGAAAGAAAUUUUCUUCGUAAUAUUUUUAUUUUUUUUUCAUUUUUUUACGCCACUGAAAGUUCAGAGCUGUCGGAAGUGAGCGCAAAUCAAUAAGAAUUUCCAUUUCAACAACAAAUGUUAAACAAGUAAAUAUGUCAAUUAAACAAAUCGUGCUUUGAACGCCAAAUGCAAAUGAAAGGAAAAAAUAAUUUAAUUGUUUAACUGAAGGGCCUAUAGUGAAAAUAUUAAAAAAAAAUAUAAAUAAUAAAAUUUGAAAAAUUCUUAAUAUAUUUUAUUAUACAAAAAAUUUAGUGAAGUGAAUUGAAGUGGGAUAAAAAGGAGUAAAAUUAUUUUAUAUAACCUCAUAUUAUGGGAAUAGAAAUAAAACCGUA